GUUACGUGUACUUUUUACUAUUAUCAACAUUAUGUUUCUUCAUUCAAGGUAUACAAUAGUGUUCGGCAUACACUGCCAACCAAGGGUGCAAAUCCAAACCACCACUUUGUGUGACUUUUCUUGCAAUA